CCUACGGGAGGCAGCAGUGGGGAAUCUUGCGCAAUGGGCGAAAGCCUGACGCAGCCAUGCCGCGUGAAUGAUGAAGGUCUUAGGAUUGUAAAAUUCUUUCACCGGGGACGAUAAUGACGGUACCCGGAGAAGAAGCCCCGGCUAACUUCGUGCCAGCAGCCGCGGUAAUACGAAGGGGGCUAGCGUUGCUCGGAAUUACUGGGCGUAAAGGGAGCGUAGGCGGAUAGUUUAGUCAGAGGUGAAAGCCCAGGGCUCAACCCUGGAAUUGCCUUUGAUACUGGCUAUCUUGAGUGUGGGAGAGGUAUGUGGAACUCCGAGUGUAGAGGUGAAAUUCGUAGAUAUUCGGAAGAACACCAGUGGCGAAGGCGACAUACUGGCCCAUUACUGACGCUGAGGCUCGAAAGCGUGGGGAGCAAACAGGAUUAGAUACCCUGGUAGUCCACGCUGUAAACGAUGAGUGCUAGUUGUCGGCAUGCAUGCAUGUCGGUGACGCAGCUAACGACAUUAAGACACUCCGCCGUCGGGGAGGUACGGUCGGCGAAGAAGUUAAAACUAACAAAGAAAGUUAGACGGCGUGAGACGUGCCGAACGGACGACGACGAGGGAGGAGG
rnacentral:rRNA from 1 species